rnacentral:rRNA from 1 species
UUAUUCAGAGCAAAAUUUCAACUUUAUUGAAAGAGACGCAUUUAUUAGAAAAAAAGCCAGUGCAUGCUUUUACAGUAUGAAAAUUGGUGAUUAUAAUAACUUGGCAAAUCGCAAAGUGAAAACAGGCGAUAAAUCAUUUCAAGUUUCUGACCUAUCAGCUUUCGACGGUAUGGUAUUGGCUUACCGUGGCAGUGACGGUUAACGGGGGAUUAGGGUUCGAUUCCGGAGAGGGAGCCUGAGAAACGGCUACCACAUCUAAGGAAGGCAGCAGGCGCGCAAAUUACCCAAUUCUAACAGUUUGAGAGAGGUAGUAACAAGAAAUAACAAUACAAGGCAAUUAAAAUGCUUUGUAAUUGGAAUGAUAGAAAUUUAAACCCUUUUUAAAGUAUCAAUUGGAGGGCAAGUCUGGUGCCAGCAGCCGCGGUAAUUCCAGCUCCAAUAGCGUAUAUUAAAAUUGUUGCAGUUAAAAAGCUCGUAGUUGAAGUUCUGCUAAAAGUAACCGGUCUGCUUUUAAUAAAAGUGGUAUCUUGGUGUGUAUUUAGCAAUGAUGUCCUUUGAAG